rnacentral:rRNA from 1 species
GACGAACGCUGGCGGCGUGCCUAAUACAUGCAAGUUGAGCGCUGAAGGUUGGUCCUUGUACCAACUGGAUGAGCAGCGCACGGGUGAGUAACGCGUGGGGAAUCUGCCUUUGAGCGGGGGACAACAUUUGGAAACGAAUGCUAAUACCGCAUAAAAACUUUAAACACAAGUUUUAAGUUUGAAAGAUGCAAUUGCAUCACUCAAAGAUGAUCCCGCGUUGUAUUAGCUAGUUGGUGAGGUAAAGGCUCACCAAGGCGAUGAUACAUAGCCGACCUGAGAGGGUGAUCGGCCACAUUGGGACUGAGACACGGCCCAAACUCCUACGGGAGGCAGCAGUAGGGAAUCUUCGGCAAGGGACGAAAGUCUGACCGAGCAACGCCGCGUGAGUGAAGAAGGUUUUCGGAUCGUAAAACUCUGUUGGUAGAGAAGAACGUUGGUGAGAGUGGAAAGCUCAUCAAGUGACGGUAACUACCCAGAAAGGGACGGCUAACUACGUG